UACGUAGGGGGCAAGCGUUGUCCGGAUUUAUUGGGCGUAAAGAGCGUGUAGGCGGCCUGGUAGGUCAGCUGUGAAAACUCGAGGCUCAACCUCGAGACGUCGGUUGAAACCACCUGGCUAGAGUCCGGAAGAGGAGAGUGGAAUUCCUGGUGUAGCGGUGAAAUGCGCAGAUAUCAGGAAGAACACCCGUGGCGAAGGCGGCUCUCUGGGACGGUACUGACGCUGAGACGCGAAAGCGUGGGGAGCGAACAGG
rnacentral:rRNA from 1 species